rnacentral:misc_RNA from 1 species
GAUGAAGAACGUAGCGAAAUGCGAUAAGUAAUGUGAAUUGCAGAAUCCAGUGAAUCAUCGAAUCUUUGAACGCACAUUGCGCCCGCCAGCAUUCUGGCGGGCAUGCCUGUUCGGGCGUCAUUUCAACCCUCGACCUCCCCUUGGGGAGGUCGGCGUUGGGGACCGGCAGCACACCGCCGGCCCUGAAAUGGAGUGGCGGCCCGUCCGCGGCGACCUCUGCGCAGUAAUACAGCUCGCACCGGGACCCCGACGCGGCCACGCCGUAAAACACCCAACUUCUGAACGUUGACCUCGAAUCAGGUAGGACUACCCGCUGAACUUAAGCAUAUCAAUAAGCGGAGGA